GUCAUCACUGAUCUUCAUAGUCUGAAGGUGCAUGAAAUGGUCAACUCCCAUCCCACAAGUCUCAGCUAAAACAGCAAUUCAACGAGGAACUUUUUUCUGAGGCUCCAGGAUUGGGCCAGGCCCUCUCCAUUGCUCUCUGCCCUUCCCCUACUGCAGAACUUAGCACCUGUAUGUCACUAUUGGUUCAAACAUGUGUCUUUCGUAUGCUCUCCACGUUAUCUGCAGCAUCUGCCAAGAAUAAUAAUGGAUGGUAAAACCUAAUCUCUAUUGAGUGUCGAUGAUGCACUUUUAACGUGACAUCUUAUUUAA
rnacentral:lncRNA from 1 species